GAUUGGAUCACUCGGCUCAUGGGUCGAUGAAGAACGCAGCGAAAUGCGAUAAGUAAUGUGAAUUGCAGAAUUCAGUGAAUCAUCGAAUCUUUGAACGCACCUUGCACUCCUUGGUAUUCCGAGGAGCAUGCCUGUUUGAGUGUC
rnacentral:rRNA from 1 species